rnacentral:rRNA from 1 species
CCUACGGGAGGCAGCAGUGGGGAAUUUUGGACAAUGGGCGCAAGCCUGAUCCAGCAAUGCCGCGUGCAGGAUGAAGGCCUUCGGGUUGUAAACUGCUUUUGUACGGAACGAAAAAGUCUGCCCUAAUACGGUGGGCCCAUGACGGUACCGUAAGAAUAAGCACCGGCUAACUACGUGCCAGCAGCCGCGGUAAUACGUAGGGUGCGAGCGUUAAUCGGAAUUGCUGGGCGUAAAGCGUGCGCAGGCGGUUAUAUAAGACAGAUGUGAAAUCCCCGGGCUCAACCUGGGACCUGCAUUUGUGACUGUAUAGCUAGAGUACGGUAGAGGGGGAUGGAAUUCCGCGUGUAGCAGUGAAAUGCGUAGAUAUGCGGAGGAACACCGAUGGCGAAGGCAAUCCCCUGGACCUGUACUGACGCUCAUGCACGAAAGCGUGGGGAGCAAACAGGAUUAGAUACCCUGGUAGUCCACGCCCUAAACGAUGUCAACUGGUUNUUGGGUCUUCACUGACUCAGUACGAAGCUAACGCGUGAAGUUGACCGCCUGGGGAUACGGCCGCAAGGUUGAAACUUAAAGGAAUUGACGG